rnacentral:rRNA from 1 species
AGAGUGAACGCUGGCGGUAGGCCUAACACAUGCAAGUCGAACGGCAGCACAGUGGUAGCAAUACCAUGGGUGGCGAGUGACGGACGGGUGAGGAAUACAUCGGAAUCUACCUUUUCGUGGGGGAUAACGUAGGGAAACUUACGCUAAUACCGCAUACGCCCUUCGGGGGAAAGCCGGGGAUCGCAAGACCUGGCGCGGAUAGAUGAGCCGAUGUCGGAUUAGCUAGUUGGUGAGGUAAUGGCUCACCAAGGCGACGAUCCGUAGCUGGUCUGAGAGGAUGAUCAGCCACACUGGAACUGAGACACGGUCCAGACUCCGUACGGGAGCAGCAGGUGGGAAUAUGGACAAGUGGGCGCAAGCCUGAUCCAGCCAUACCGCGUGGGUGAAGAGGCCUUCGGUAGUAAAGUCCCGUUUUUGUA